AUUGAACGCUGGCGGCAGGCCUAACACAUGCAGGUCGAGCGGGGUUUUCGGACCUAGCGGCGGACGGGUGAGUAAUGCGUAGGAAGCUACCCGAUAGAGGGGGAUACCAGUUGGAAACGACUGUUAAUACCGCAUAAUGUCUACGGACCAAAGUGUGGGACCUUCGGGCCACAUGCUAUCGGAUGCGCCUACGUGGGAUUAGCUAGUUGGUGAGGUAAUGGCUCACCAAGGCGACGAUCUCUAGCUGGUUUGAGAGGAUGAUCAGCCACACUGGAACUGAGACACGGUCCAGACUCCUACGGGAGGCAGCAGUGGGGAAUAUUGGACAAUGGGCGGCAAGCCUGAUCCAGCCAUGCCGCGUGUGUGAAGAAGG
rnacentral:rRNA from 1 species